rnacentral:rRNA from 1 species
UACAGAGGGUGCGAGCGUUAAUCGGAAUUACUGGGCGUAAAGCGUGCGUAGACGGUAGCGUAAGUCAGAUGUGAAAGCCCCGGGCUCAACCUGGGAAUUGCAUUUGAGACUGCUCUGCUCGGGUUCGGAAGAGGGAAGCGGAAUUUCCGGUGUAGCGGUGAAAUGCGUAGAUAUCGGAAGGAACACCAGUGGCGAAAGCGGCUUCCUGGUCCGACACCGACGUUCAGGCACGAAAGCGUGGGGAGCAAACAGG